rnacentral:rRNA from 1 species
AGUAACGGCGAGUGAACCGGGAAGAGCUCAAAUUUGAAAUCUGGCGUGCUCAGUGCGUCCGAGUUGUAAUCUAUAGAGUCGUUUUCCGUGCCGGACUGUGUCCAAGUCCCUUGGAACAGGGUAUCAAAGAGGGUGAUAAUCCCGUACUUGACACAAUGACCGGUGCUCUGUGAUACGUCUUCUACGAGUCGAGUUGUUUGGGAAUGCAGCUCAAAAUGGGUGGUGAGUUCCAUCUAAAGCUAAAUAUUGGCGAGAGACCGAUAGCGAACAAGUACCGUGAGGGAAAGAUGAAAAGCACUUUGGAAAGAGAGUUAAACAGUACGUGAAAUUGUUAAAAGGGAAACGAUUGAAGUCAGUCGUGACUGAGAGGCUCAGCCGGUUCUGCCGGUGUAUUCCCCUCAGUCGGGUCAACAUCAGUUUUGUUCGGUGGAUAAGGGCAGUUGGAAGGUGGCACCCUCGGGUGUGUUAUAGCCAGCUGUCGCAUACAUCGGAUGAGACUGAGGAAUGCAGCUCGCCUUUAUGGCCGGGGUUCGCCCACGUUCGAGCUUAGGA